rnacentral:rRNA from 1 species
UACGGGGGGGGCAAGCGUUGUUCGGAAUUACUGGGCGUAAAGGGCGCGUAGGCGGCUCACUAAGUCGGAUGUGAAAACUCUGGGCUCAACCUAGAGCCUGCAUCCGAAACUAUUGGGCUAGAGUUCUGGAGGGGAAAGCGGAAUUCCUGGUGUAGCGGUGAAAUGCGUAGAUAUCAGGAGGAACACCGGUGGCGAAGGCGGCUUUCUGGACAGAAACUGACGCUGAGGCGCGAAAGCUAGGGGAGCAAACAGG